CCUACGGGAGGCAGCAGUGAGGAAUAUUGGUCAAUGGGCUUACGCCUGAACCAGCCAAGUCGCGUGAGGGAAGACUGCCCUAUGGGUUGUAAACCUCUUUUGUCAGGGAGCAACGCCGGCUACGUGUAGCCGGACUGAGAGUACCUGAAGAAAAAGCAUCGGCUAACUCCGUGCCAGCAGCCGCGGUAAUACGUAGGGGGCAAGCGUUAUCCGGAUUUACUGGGUGUAAAGGGGGCGCAGACGGCAGCGCAAGCCAGGGGUGAAAGCCCGGGGCCCAACCCCGGGACUGCUCUUGGAACUGCGCGGCUGGAGUGCAGGAGGGGCAGGCGGAAUUCCUGGUGUAGCGGUGAAAUGCGUAGAUAUCAGGAGGAACACCGGUGGCGAAGGCGGCCUGCUGGACUGCGACUGACGUUGAGGCCCGAAAGCGUGGGGAGCAAACAGGAUUAGAUACCCUGUAGUC
rnacentral:rRNA from 1 species